UGUUGCUGUUUGCAUCCAGCCCAAGUCUUGCUAUCUACACAGCUUCUGCACCCAGCUGAGAAUCACCGUGACGAGAAGAACUGCCUGCAAGUCUUGCACCAGCACUGCUAAGGAAGGGGAGUUGAACAAAGAUUGAGGAGGUGACAACGGAUGGGAUGGCAGUGUAAGCUCUGCACAUUUGUAGAUUCAUCAAAAGGAGGACUUCUCAAGCACUAUCCAGUGACCCACCUUUGGUCAUGGAUAUUCAGUACCCUGUCUGCAUUUAAACUGUCCUUGCUCAUUCAAGACAUGGGGUGGCCUGCACACACACUUGCAUAGAUCCCACAGUUUCCAGGAACCCGAGGACGGGGAAGUUGUGCAAUCUUUUAGAUGCAAAAUGUGUGACUCAGUUUAUCCUAAUAAAAUACUUUUUUCAACAUAUUAACUCUCACUUGAAAAGACAUGAAACCACCGAAUGUGCUUUUGUUGGAUGCGAUUUCCAGACAAACAUAUAUGGGACUUAUGCAACACAAGGAAGUAGAAAACACAAGUCCUGUUCAUUGAAAGAUUUUAAGGCUGAUGUGAUUGCAUUUUUGGAGCAUUAUCCUGAUAUGAUAAGAGGG
ensembl:lncRNA